GACUAGUGGCGGACGGGUGAGUAACGCGUGGUAACCUGCCUCAUACAGGGGAUAACAGUUGGAAACGACUGCUAAGACCGCAUAACCCGCUAGUGUCGCAUGACACGGACGGAAAAUAUUUAUAGGUAUGAGAUGGGCCCGCGUCUGAUUAGCUAGUUGGUAGGUAACGGCUUACCAAGGCGACGAUCAGUAGCCGACUUGAGAGGAGUGAUCGGCCACAUUGGGACUGAGACACGGCCCAAACUCCUACGGGAGGCAGCAGUGGGGAAUAUUGGACAAUGGGGGAAACCCUGAUCCAAGCGACGCCGCGUGAGUGAAGAAGUAUUUCGGUAUGUAAAGCUCUAUCAGCAGGGAAGAUAAUGACAGUACCUGACUAAGAAGCCCCGGCUAACUACGUGCCAGCCGCUGC
rnacentral:rRNA from 1 species